rnacentral:rRNA from 1 species
UACAGAGGUGACAAACGUUGUCCGGAAUUAUUGGGCGUAAAGGGCGCGUAGGUGGUUGAGUAAGUCAGGUGUGAAAGCUCUGGGCUUAACCCAGGAAUUGCAUCUGAUACUGCUCGGCUUGAGUACGGUAGAGGAGGGUGGAAUUCCCAGUGUAGCGGUGAAAUGCGUAGAGAUGCGGAGGAACACCGAUGGCGAAGGCAGCCCCCUGGGCUAACACUGACGCUCAGGCACGAAAGCGUGGGGAGCAAACAGG